rnacentral:tRNA from 1 species
GGGCGGUUAACUCAGUUGGUUAGAGUACCUGGUUUACACCCAGGCUGUCGGGAGUUCGAGUCUCUCACCGCCCACCA